ACGAGAUUUCAAUUUUAUUGCACGCUGGAAUUGCAUACAAGGAGCACCCUUGCAUUCAAACUGCAUUACAUUUAAAAUUCAUUAUCUACUUGCAAGCGUCUUAGUUAUCCUAUAUUCAAAGAGAAAAGUAGAUGGACACUGUACUGUAUUUCGAUGAAAUGUCUUUAGAAGGGCCUGGGGAUGUAGGAUACAUGACAGUGUAAAAGGUCAGAGGUGAGAAUUGUUCCCACCGUCUUGCAAUGUGCACUGUUUAAGGGUUAGGUCAUGGCGACUGGAAUCGAUGUUGGUCAGUUGCAGAGAAAAGUCGAUGAGUUGCAAAGUAAAAUCGAAACAUAUGAGUUGCAGAGAAAAGUCGAUGUAGAUCGGUUGCAGAGUGAAGUCGAUAGGUUGCGUAUUGAUGUAGGUGCAGAUCCGCGGCUGAGCGAAGUCGAUGUAGAUCAGUUGGAGAGAGAGGCAGAGAGAGCCACAUCGAACGACGCACCGUUGAAAGAGCGCAACAACUACGAAAAGAUCAAGGCGUUGCUGUGGAUUAAAGAUCAGCGGACUCCUCCGGUGUACAGAGAGGCUCUAGAAGAGUGGGAUAAGAAGUCGAUAGUGGUUGCCUCCAGUAUUGAGCGGAAGACGAAGCAGGUUGAAUCAUUGAAGAACGAGAUCUACAAUCUGGUGGGCUUUUACAGCGUGUUCCAAGGUGUGGUCUUCACGGCUGUGGCUCAGGGGAAUGAGCACUUCUUCACCUGCAGCAAGUGUUUUAUCGCAAUUGUACUAUCAAUACUUGCUUCCGUCGUCAGUUUCGUUGGUGUUUGGCAAAAGCAUCAGAAAAUUCAAUAUCUGGAGGAUAAACUUGAGGAAGACCAUGUCUACAAAAAGGAAUUAGAUAGUCGAGAAAGUCGACUUCGAUCGGACUGCGAGAACUUCAGAUUUGCGAAUCUGUCAAACUGUCGCUCUCCAGGAAAGCGUAAAAAAACUACCGUCAGCGUUUUCAUUAGCUCUGCGGCUUUGUUUGCGUUUGCUGCAUUUUUCCCCUUUUCCCAUUAUUGGAUAUUGUGCAAGCACUAAAUCAUCACGAGCGGCUCGACAAAGGCAUCGAAGAGACAAGCACAUUUUCUGAAUCUAAAAUUCGACAGAUACAAGUACCUUUACGAUAAAGUGUGCCAGGUAGCACAUACCUGUAUUGUUUUCGAAGCUUUAUUAGGUUCGAAUACUCUGUAGAUAAUGAUUGCAUCAAAUGCUACACUGAUAUCUUAGACUGAAAUCCGACGGAGAGUGACCUUUCAUUGUAUAUCCACCACACUUGUAUGCAAUAGUGCACCUAAUCUGUCGUUACGGUAAACAAAUAUCCGUUAGUGUCAAGAGCGAAAAUAAUCCACGUCACUUAACAGUACAUAGGGAACGUGUUGAUCUGAAAUUCAGAGAUGAAGUUGAAAAUGGAUGUGAUCAACAAAACCGAGUUUGAAAUCGAAUUAAGGGAGUCAAGGUAUGGUGUAGAGCUGAAGAAAGCAGUUUUGAAGAAGAAUCAAACUUUUGUUAUGACGGGAAAUUCGCGUGAUACCUAUAGUGAAUACUUGGUGCUUCACAUACCUACGGGUACAAUAAAACUGACGUCUGACAGCUUGAGUUUAUAUAAGAGUGUUCAGAUUAUAUACGGGCCACCAAAGACAAAUCCAUCUGCCCCUGCAACACUUUAUUGGGAUGGAGAACCAAGAAACCUACAGAGCGAUCAAAAUCUAAUUACACUUCUUCGAAAUUGGAUGGCAAAGUUUUUUCGCCCAAGUCUCAAGCAUGACGAAAGACCAGACGUAGAGGUCCCUGUGGAGGACAAAAGUGAACCCAGUAGUGCUAUGCCUCAUCCAGUGGGGCCGGGAAGCACAACGUAAAGUGGAGAUUUGUGUCAUGGACUAGACCAUGAAGAACUUAGGUUGUGACGCCAUUUACCAUCGAUCUUAAUGAAGCAAGGAAACUUUUUGCAGAUCUUGCAUAGUCAAUAUGAUGCGGUCACUGGUUAUUUAGAACAGCAUUGAGCAUUAUACUCUCAGAAGUGGCUAAUGAGCAUUUCAUAUCCUGGAAGUCCGUUGGUGAAGAAACUGACCAGUAGCGUCGGCUGUGUGUGUGUAGUCGAUGGGUAGAUGAUGUUGUGGGUUGUCAUCUUGUGAACUUCUGACACACUUGCGGAAGACGGUUGUUGUUGUAUUGUUGCAAUUGCAAGAUUAUGUUUAUUUAUUUAUUGGUUCAUCUA